rnacentral:rRNA from 1 species
GGAAUUAUUGGGCGUAAGCGCGCGCAGGUGGUUUCUUAAGUCUGAUGUGAAAGCCCACGGCUCAACCGUGGAGGGUCAUUGGAAACUGGGAGACUUGAGUGCAGAAGAGGAAAGUGGAAUUCCAUGUGUAGCGGUGAAAUGCGUAGAGAUAUGGAGGAACACCAGUGGCGAAGGCGACUUUCUGGUCUGUAACUGACACUGAGGCGCGAAAGCGUGGGGAGCAAACAGGAUUAGAUACCCUGGUAGUCCACGCCGUAAACGAUGAGUGCUAAGUGUUAGAGGGUUUCCGCCCUUUACUGCUGAAGUUAACGCAUUAACCACUCCGCCUGGGGAGUACGGCCGCAAGGCUGAAACUCAAAGGAAUUGACGGGGGCCCGCACC